rnacentral:rRNA from 1 species
GGAGGGUGCAAGCGUNAUCCGGAUNNAUNGGGUNUAAAGGGUCCGUAGGCGGACCUGUAAGUCAGUGGUGAAAUCUCGCAGCUCAACUGUGAAACUGCCAUUGAUACUGCAGGUCUUGAGUAAAUUUGAAGUGGCUGGAAUAAGUAGUGUAGCGGUGAAAUGCAUAGAUAUUACUUAGAACACCAAUUGCGAAGGCAGGUCACUAAGAUUUAACUGACGCUGAUGGACGAAAGCGUGGGGAGCGAACAGGAUUAGAUACCCUGGUAGUCCACGCCGUAAACGAUGCUAACUCGUUUUUGGGCCUUCGGGUUCAGAGACUAAGCGAAAGUGAUAAGUUAGCCACCUGGGGAGU